AGUGAACGCUGGCGGUAGGCCUAACACAUGCCAGUCGAACGGCAGCACAGUAAGAGCUUGCUCUUACGGGUGGCGAGUGGCGGACGGGUGAGGAAUACAUCGGAAUCUACUUUUUCGUGGGGGAUAACGUAGGGAAACUUACGCUAAUACCGCAUACGACCUACGGGUGAAAGCAGGGGAUCUUCGGACCUUGCGCGAUUGAAUGAGCCGAUGUCGGAUUAGCUAGUUGGCGGGGUAAAGGCCCACCAAGGCGACGAUCCGUAGCUGGUCUGAGAGGAUGAUCAGCCACACUGGAACUGAGACACGGUCCAGACUCCUACGGGAGGCAGCAGUGGGGAAUAUUGGACAAUGGGCGCAAGCCUGAUCCAGCCAUACCGCGUGGGUGAAGAAGGCCUUCGGGUUGUAAAGCCCUUUCGUUGGGAAAGAAAAGCAGCAGGUUAAUACCCCGCUGUUAUGACGGUACCAAAAGAAUAAGCACCGGCUAACUUCGUG
rnacentral:rRNA from 1 species